rnacentral:rRNA from 1 species
AUUGAACGCUGGCGGCAUGCCUUACACAUGCAAGUCGAACGGCAGCACGGGUGCUUGCACCUGGUGGCGAGUGGCGAACGGGUGAGUAAUACAUCGGAACGUGCCCUAGAGUGGGGGAUAACUAGUCGAAAGAUUAGCUAAUACCGCAUACGAUCUCAGGAUGAAAGUGGGGGACCGCAAGGCCUCAUGCUCCUGGAGCGGCCGAUGUCUGAUUAGCUUGUUGGUGGGGUAACGGCCCACCAAGGCGACGCUCAGUAGCUGGUCUGAGAGGACGACCAGCGGCACUGGGACUGGAACACGGGCCGGACACUACAGGGAGGCAGCAGUGGGGGAUUUUGGAAAGGGGGGUAAGCGUGGUUCCAGCAAUGCUGGGGGGAGGAAAAAGACGUUCGGUUGGUAAGGCACAUUUGUCGGGAACAAAACGGUGGGGACUAAUACCUUCUGCGAAUGACGGUACCGGAAGAAUAAGCACCGGCUAACUACGUGCCAGCCGCCGCCGUAA